GCUCCGGUGGCCCAGUGGUUAGAGCUUCCGCCUUGGAUGCAGAAGGUCACAGAUUCGAACCCCGGCUGAGUCA